rnacentral:rRNA from 1 species
AGAGUUUGAUCCUGGCUCAGAACGAACGUUGGCGGCGUGGAUUAGGCAUGCAAGUCGAACGGGGUUGGGGGCAACUCCAACCUAGUGGCGAACGGGUGAGUAACGCGUGGGAAACCUGCCCUUGUGAUGGGGAUAACACUUCUAACGAGGUGCUAAUACCGAAUAAGACCACGAAGUCGCAUGGCUUCGCGGUCAAAGAUGGCCUCUGCUUGCAAGCUAUCACUUAAGGAUGGUCCCGCGUCCCAUUAGCUAGUUGGCGGGGUAACAGCCCACCAAGGCGACGAUGGGUAGCUGGUCUGAGAGGAUGGUCAGCCACACUGGGACUGAGAUACGGCCCAGACUCCUACGGGAGGCAGCAGUCGAGAGGCUUCGGCAAUGGGGGCAACCCUGACCGAGCGACGCCGCGUGAGGGAUGAAGCUCUUCGGGGUGUAAACCUCUUUUCUGGGGGAAGAAACCUAUGGGGUCGAAUAGGCCUCAUGGCUGACGGUACCCCAGGAAUAAGCUCCGGCUAACUCCGUGCCAGCAGCCGCGGUAAUACGGGGGGAGCAAACGUUGUUCGGAAUCACUGGGCGUAAAGGGCGCGUAGGCGGCCCGGUAAGUGGUGUGUGAAAUGCCCUGGCUCAACCAGGGAACUGCGCUCCAAACUGCCGGGCUUGAGGUCAGUAGAGGAAGCUGGAAUUCCAGGUGUAGCGGUGAAAUGCGUAGAUAUCUGGAGGAACACCGUUGGCGAAGGCGAGCUUCUGGGCUGUACCUGACGCUGAGGCGCGAAAGCUGGGGGAGCAAACAGGAUUAGAUACCCUGGUAGUCC